GAAUAACGCAGCGCGGUCGCAUCGUUCAGUGCUACCAAUAUUCUUCUAUACCGUUUCCUGUCAAGAAUUUUUAAUCAUUUUGUAGAAUAAUAAUUUGCGCCUAAUCAAAAAUAUAAAUUUGUAUACAGUUUUAUUUUAUACAAGCACUAGCUCAAUGUGCAAUAUCUGUUUUUAUCUGACAUUUUGUCAUUCGAAAUGUAACAAAUUUUGUAUUCUUGGAAUAUAUGUAUAAGGAUAGUGUGACAAGUAUACAAAAGUGAUAUUGGAAACCAUUAUUUACAUAUUAGAAAGUAUUCAUUGAAAUCACGUAAUCAAAAUGGUAGACUUGAAAAAUAAUGUAAAUGAAGCACACGAUUCUAAUGAUGAGUCAAGGAUGAGAACUGAUAGUUGUGGAACUAUGCCAUCAACACCUUCAUCAUCAUCUGACUAUAUGACAGGGGAGGCAGAUGACAGUUCAGAUAGCAAAGCUGCCAUACCAUUUAGUUUAAAGUCAGUGGAAACUGCACUUUCAUUAUCUAAGAGUACAUGCGAAGAGGAUCUGAAGGAGAUGGUACAAAAAUGUAAACAAAUGGUAUUAGAAAGCGCAGAAUGCUCUGCUGAAAGAAAAUGGCUAGUUAGACGUUUAAUUGAAUUACGUUUAAGAGUGCAAGAAUUAAGAGAAACUUCGGAAGAAAACUUAUUAGAAACACAAGUAAUUCUUGGACAUCAUCUAGUACCACAAAAAUAUUAUAUUACAACUUCUGGAGCUGUAUAUUGUGAUCAUUGUAGUGGAGCUAUUUGGGCUAUGCUUCAGUCAUGGUAUAUGUGUAGCGAUUGCAAGUUCUGUUGCCAUUGGAAAUGUUUAAACAACAUAUGUAGAGUAUGCGUUCAUGUAGUUGCUAGCGAAGCAGGUGGUUAUACUCAUACAAAAGAUAUUUGUCCUGAGCAAGGCUUAUCAGGUCAAGGAUAUAGAUGUGCUGAAUGCAAAGUUCGAAUAACAUUCAAAUCAGCAUGGAUUGAACCACGUCUUUGUGACUACAGUGGAUUGUAUUACUGUCAAAGGUGCCAUUGGAAUACCGCAAUGGUAAUACCUGCAAGAGUAAUCAGAAACUGGGACAUGGAACCGCGACUUGUAUCUCGAGCAGCCGCACAACUUUUAACACUUUUAGAAGAACGUUCUGUUUUAGUACUAGAGGAAUUGAAUCCGAAAUUAUUUACCUUAGUCCCAGAUUUAUCUUUAGUAAAGAAAAUGCGGGAGGAAAUGCAAAUGAUGAAACGCUAUUUGGUUCUAUGCCCGGAAGCUAGUAACCAAGGGCUACCGUGGAAAGUUGGAAUACGUACUCACAUGAUUGAAAACUCGGGUAAUUAUUCGAUUAAAGAUCUCGUUGAUUUGAAUAAUGGAACACUUCUGGAAGAAAUACGUGCUGCAUACGAUGUUAUGCACGCUCACAUUACAGAACAAUGCGAAUUGUGCAAAGCAAGGGGUCAUUUAUGUGAAUUGUGUGGUAACGAUGAAAUUAUAUAUCCAUGGGACGCAAGUUCCAUAACUUGCCAUCAAUGUUCAGCUGUUUAUCAUCGAGCUUGUUGGUCGAAACGAAAUCACUGUUGCCCACGAUGUACAAGGCUUCAAAAGCGACGCGCCUUGCAACAUCAACAAAAUUUCCAUACAGAUGACAGUCUUACAGAGGACGGGCUGAAUACCAGUGAAUCGUUGAGCGAUACAACAUAAACACUACAUAAUUUUGUAUUAUAUUCAUCCUUUCAGUCGCUGACAAUCUUACGUUCUUCGUGCUUAUUCCGCGAGUUCAUUAUACGUUCUGAACUGUACAUAUUACUUGUGUGCAAGUGUUUUGUAAAAUAAGAGUUACAAUUUUUUUCAAGUAACUAAAUUGGAAUUUCCGAAUGCGUGUUAUCAUCUAAGACCUCUGCCUUUAAAAAGAUCUAAAAA